rnacentral:rRNA from 1 species
UACGGAGGGUGCGAGCGUUGUCCGGAAUCACUGGGCGUAAAGGGCGCGUAGGUGGCGCCGCAAGUCAACGGUGAAAGCUCGACGCUUAACGUCGAGUCGGCCGUCGAGACUGCGGGGCUCGAGCACUGUAGAGGCUCAUGGAAUUCCGGGUGUAGCGGUGGAAUGCGUAGAGAUCCGGAAGAACACCGGUGGCGAAGGCGGCGCUCUGGACCGAGACUGACGCUGAGGCGCGAAAGCGUGGGGAGCAAACAGG